rnacentral:lncRNA from 1 species
UGACUGACGGAAUAUAUUUAUUUUUUAUCAGUCUCUUCUGUGUAUGUUACCACACUAGUUGGACUAGUGUAAGAACGGCUUCCAGGAAGACUCCUUCUGUCCACUCAGCUGACUCACUCUGUGUUGUGACUUUAAGCACUGGACCACAGAUUGUAUUGGGGUCUGAGUGUGCCCUGUGGUAUCUGUAGGUAGUUGAGGAAAAAUAAAAUUUAAAAUCUAUGAAGCCAGAAGUCACUCUAUGGAUAUUUUUUUUCCUAAUCAACAGAUAUGUAAAAUUAGUAGGCAUCUGGAUUUGGUUUUCAUUGAUACCUCGUUAAACUAGAAAUCUUCUCCAGUCAGAAAUACACUCAGUGCUACAAAUACCAUUAUAAGUGACAUAGACCCUUUUUUUUUGCAUUUUCAAUAGAAAUCAAGAGAAAUAUAAUUUAUUAAACUGCUGUGUUGAUAGGAGGCAGAAUUCUACCAGAAGCACAAAUUUGAGUUUACUCAAGUUUCUUCAGGUUGACUGUGUGUAGCUGCUUGAAUAUCCAUUCACUGUGUAUCUUAGCUUAUCUAAUACAUUUUUUUCUCUGAAGCAGUGUGGGAUUCCAAAUGUAAAGAAACAUACAACUGCCUCUGAUGCAACAAAAUGACCUGAAGCGCGCACGCACGCACACACACACGCGCGCGCGCACACACACACACACACAUACAGUGGAUUGAACCAGCAAUGAGUGUUAGAAGCAUUCAGACAUUAGUAAGUGGACGAAAAUGUUGCAGUCUUGUGAAUGCUCUUAUGAACUGAAAGAUUUUUGGAAGAUGUUUGGUGACUUAAAAUACAUCAUGUGCUCCUUGAGGAUAAAAUUUAAAAUAAAAUGAAAUCAGAUGCGUUUUUAGGUUUGAAACCAGAGUUUCUUACUACUUCAAUUUUGAGUCCUUUGUAAAGAUGGUUUCGAAGAUAACGAAGUUUUUUUUUUUUUAAAAAAUAGCGUCCCUCCAGAGAACUGAAGUCUAGCCAAAUCCCUCAACAUAGAAAAUUCACUUAAAAGAGAAAAGCAAGUCAUCCUGUUUCACUUGGUUAUUUUCUCUCCCAAGUAUGGAAUACAGAAAUCUAGAAAGCAGGGUAACAGUGAGUUAAUAUUCAUCAUGUUUUGUUUGUCUUGGCUUCUAAAUUACACAUUUCUUAAAUUUCUGGUUUGCAUAAUUUCUGUAUUUACUCAACCAGCCUCAUAUCUUAUCCAAGUUUUCACGUUAAAGUGAAAAUCCUAGUUCAUUUUCCUCAAGUUUUCCUUCUCUCUUCCCAGACAUUGUUCAUCAUUUUUUUCUAAGAGUCUGUUUACCCAGCGCAUGAUGGCAGGGUAUUUUGUUUUUGAAACAAAAUUUAAACACAUUAACACACAAUCAACGAUGUGUAUAAUACGUAUGGGUGAAUGCAAUUACAUGAUCCAUUUAUAUCAUCUAUAGCUAAAUACAGGAUGCCAGUUGUUGGUUGGUGUGUAAGUGGUUAUGCCUUUGAUUAAAUUAUCUCCACUAGUUAUGCCUAUAACAGCAUAGAAAUCUUCUUUUUCCCAAAUUUUCUAGGAUAUUAUUAUGUGUAGGAUUUCUGUGAUACAAGUUUCCUCAAAUAUUGAUCUUUCUCACAAACCUAGCUCUUAUAGUUGCAUUCAGAUAGAGCUGAAUCAAUGUGUUAAGUUAAACAACGCUAUCCGCAGUGACAAGUGACUUGCAAAUACCUGUGGCAUAACCUAAGCAUGGUUGAUAGGAUGUGGUGGAAGGCUCUACUACAUUCAGCCAUUCAGGGGCCCAGGUUCCAUAUAUUUUAUGGCUCUUAUGCUCCCCUGAGGCCUUAGAAUUUGACUGAAUCAUUUACAAGCAAAUGGUAGAAAAAGGAAGAAAGAAUGCAUGGAGAACCAUUGCGGCUUGGGGGGUGAGGGAUGAAGGUUAAGGACCUAGUCUAGCAGUGGCAGAUACCUCUUGCAUCCACAUUAUGUGGGCCAGGAUUCAGUCAUAUGGCCUGGCAGUAUCACAGAGGAGACUGGGAAAUCUCAAACAUGGCACCGAGGUGGGAAAGAAUAUGGAGUUUGGUGAGUUCAUAGCAUUGUCUCUGCCACCAUACAGGUCGACCUGCUAUGAUUUCAGAGAUACUGUGAAGGCCCCUGAUGUUCUCUCGCCAUUCUCCUAUGGCAAGCUGAUUCCUUGAUUUAGCUUGCAUUCAGGUUGAAUAGCAGCACUGAUUUCUGUUAGGUAAGACUUUAAAAUAUUAUCAGUUGUUUUAGCUCCUGUGUGGAUUAGGCUUUGAAAGCAGGUCUUAUUUGAAGGUGGGUAGAAAAAAUUCCCAGGGUUGUGGGGUACCAGCUGGAUAGUGGGAUGAAAUACUGCAGGGAGAGCAAAGUGGUUGACCAGUUAUUUCUUACCUUCUUACAGUGGCCUAACUACUGACUGCCCAAGAAGAAUAGUUUUAAAAUCUCCUGGACCCCGUCUUUUCUCAUUCCAACCACUGUUGUUUCUUUUCCUCUCCUGUAGUCUUAGUUGGGUUCUCCAAGAAACAAACUCUGAAAUGAAGAUGUGCAUGCAAGUAAUUUAUUGGGGAAUGCUCAUAACACCUUUGGAGGAAGGACAGAAGUAGGAUGGAGAGAGGGAGGAGUUGAAAAGGUCAUGGGUUAGAAAGCUUUAGAGCUUUUGAUGAAUUGUCAAAGUUGCCCUGCCUUGAGACAAGGGGGCCAGGCCUUGAUAAUAUCUCUCUCCAUUUGGCAGUCGUUGGGUGCUUGCUGCACUCAGAGAAGGGGGUAUUAGCUAGGGUCAGGUGGCUCUCUUCAGUGAUGGGUAAUGCCUAGAGAGGAAGUCAGCUGUGAGUAGUCACUGUCUAAUCCUCCUGGCAGUUGGGAGUCUAGGCAUCACACUGUAGUAUCUACUACACUAGUGACGUCCAUCUCUAAGAAAUAGAUUCAUACCCAAGUUCUAUUUCAGAGAUGAUAAUGCCUAGGCUUCUACCACUGCUUUUCUAUAACCACCCCCCCACACCUCCUCAGGAUACUUUAUGAGGAGUAUGAAAGAGGAGCCCACCAAUGUGCUUUCAAAGGCUGUAGUUGUAUUUAGCAAAAUGCUUUUGCAAAGACCAGCUUUGUUCAAGCUCUGGGUUUCACAUCUACCUCCUACCAGCCUAGAAUCACCUCCUCAAUUUGCCUAGCUUAUAAAAAAUAUGCUCAUUCUUUCAAGUGUGUAUUUUCACUUUGAUGAGGCACUCUCUGCUUUCCUGCAUUUUAAGGGAAUUCACACUCAUCAGAGAUCUUUUGUGGUAAUUACUAUCUGAGUUCUACCUCUGGUACUCAUUAGGUCCUGUUUUACAUCGCUAACUAUCUUUUCCUGUGUGUAUCUUCACUCUAAAAUAGAAGUAGUUAAGAGGAAAAGUUAUGGUUUAUAUUUCAUGAAUCAUCAUCAUCCACAUUUGGUACAAGUCUACAGUUAUUUCAUUAGUUUGACUAAUAUUUAUUAUGCACCUCUUAUGUUCAAGGCAAUAUGUAGGAUCCUGAGGAGACUUAAGUGAGAAUUAUCACACUAAAGAAGAUGAUUCUUGUGAGCAAGAAGGACACACCUUUAGUUCCAAUGCAAAUAGUACUAAUAGGAGUUUAAGGCGGUAGGGAAGGAUCUAAACUGUUUGGACAGAGAUGGGCUAGGGGGGUAAGGGCAUGGGUCUAGGAAGGUGUCAAAGAGUUUAGUAACCAAAAUAUGAUGGUAUAAAGAACUCUGAAGCCCACGUGCUUGCUUCAAGGAUGGUUAUUACAACGGAAGAUCGGAAAGCAGAAACAGACAGAGCCUAAGACUUCAUGGUAGUGGGCAUUAAUUUAUGGAACUAUGGGAUGAACCUAGGGUUUCUUAGUUUUGUUGCUGUUGACAUUUUGGGCUUCAUAAUUCUUUGUCCUAGGGGGAUGUCCUAUACUAUGUAGAUGUUUAGCAGUAUCCCUGGCUUCUACCCACUAACUGCCAGUAGUGCUCCUCGGAUUUGACAACCAAAAACAAAAUCUCUGGAUAUUGCCAAGUGUCUACUAGAGGUCCAUAUCAUUCCCAGUUGAGGACAACUUGGCUAGCAACUUUAAAGAUAGGCAGUACUUGCCAUGACAGCAGCUUCUCUGUGAGCAAUGGACAUUUCUUUUGUGAGAUAGAAAAGUGAGGAGUGUAUUUACUGCUAAUGGAAGUCCAGGUGCUGACACACUCUCUUGGGAGUAAUGUGCUUGAGGUGGGUGUUUUACUAUCUAUUCUCGAUGAUCUGUCUACCUCACAAAAAUAUCUCUACAGUUGAGUUCUGGUACAUGGACCCGAUUUUCCCCAAAGUUAAUAGCUCAGCUUUUUCAAGUGUUUCUUGUGGAGUACAUGGUCAUGGAAUAAAGAGAUCAGAGUUAAUAAUCAUUUGUUUAUUAUUUUUUGGAAACUUUGACCAGCAGGGAAGUAUGAGGAUUUUUAGAAAUCACCAGGGUACAGUGAAAGUUGCCAAUAAAAAUGUAAAAUAAUACAGAUGUUGUUAUGAAGCAGAAACAUGUUAUGUUUUAAAUAAAUCAGUAUUCUUAACUAUUAGCAAGAGAACUUGAGUUUUUAAAAAAGAACAAUGGUAUUAUAAUUUUAUUAUCUUUUUCCUACACAUCUGGAAUUUUGAAAAAAACUUAUUGAAUAAAAAAAAAUCCCAUUAGAUUAUUUAAGUCAUUCUUGAGUUUAAUUGUAGUUUUGAGAAUAUAUGGAAAAGUUCUGCCUCAAAUCUCCUCUUCUUUUACAGAAUCCUUUUAAUAUUUUGUAAGAAUAUUGUGAGUUAUUGCCUGAUAUACGUAGACAAACUUUCAGAAGUAGUCUACAAAUUUUGUUUUAAAAUCACACAUUACUUUUGUUAUGUAACUAUAAGAUUUGAAAAAGAGACCAAUAAGAAAGUAAAUGUAAUUUAUAAUAUUAUUUAUUAUUUGUAGACAUUUUUCUUACUAUAUUUUAGUAGCCCCCAAACUCUAAUGGGCAUAAGAAUCAUAGUGAGAACUUGUUUAAAAAGCAUGUUCUACAUAUACUAAAAAAGAAGGAUCAAGUCUGGGGCUUAGGAAACAGCAUUUUCACAGGUACCUGAGAUGAUCUUGAUUCGGUGGUCUAUAAAAAGCACUCGGAAAAAGUGAUAUGAUUUCUUACGUUGCCAUCAUCUCUGUAUUAUACACUGACUAGUUACAGGAGGGAAGAAACUAUGGCUUUUUACCUUUGCUUUGUCUAUUUUAAAAAGAGUCCUG